rnacentral:tRNA from 6 species
CGGGGCGUAGCGCAGUUUGGUAGCGCAUCUGGUUUGGGACCAGAGGGCCGCGGGUUCAAAUCCUGCCGCCCCGA